GAAUGAAGAACGCAGCGAAAUGCGAUACGUAAUGUGAAUUGCAGAAUUCAGUGAAUCAUCGAAUCUUUGAACGCAUAUUGCGCUCUCUGGUAUUCCGGAGAGCAUGCUUGUUUGAGUAUCAGUAAACACCUCAACUUCCAUAUCUUUUUUGAAAUGGGAGUUGGACUUGAGUGAUCCCAACGCUUUUCCUCACCGAAAAGUGGCGGGUUACUUGAAAUGCAGGUGCAGCUGGACUUUUCUCUGAGCUAUAAGCAUAUCUAUUUAGUCUGCCUAAAAAACAGAUUAUUACCUUUGCUGCAGCUAACAUAAAGGAGAUUAGUUCUUGUGCUGACUGAUGCAGGAUUCACAAAGACGGCUUCGGCCGACUUUGUAAACUCGAUCUCAAAUCAAGUAAGACUACCCGCUGAACUUAAGCAUAUCAAUAAGCGGAGGA
rnacentral:misc_RNA from 1 species